rnacentral:lncRNA from 1 species
GCAACUUCAGCGCUUCUACCGCCGCGGCGCUUCGGGAAGCACAAGCUCACAUCCCAUAUCCGCAGAACACGGGGUGCACAAGGCUGGAGUCACCUCGGGGGCUCACGAUCAGUCAGGGGCCCCGACCCCCUACUUCGCCCAUCCUAGCAAGGCGCAAGAAUCACCAUAAACGCUGGAUUUGCUGACCACAUGGCCGAUCGUGACCACCUGCUCUGUACUCACCCAGGCUUCUGGUCAGGAGAGAGGCGGGGAAGAGCUGCCCCCUCCCUGCGUCCACCAUCACUCCUGGCCUGGGAUCAGGGCAAGUUAUAAAGGGGGCCAGAGUCCCCCCUUUCUCUCUGUCCCUCUCCAGGAGGACACUCUGGGGACCACCCACCCUCCUCCCUCCCCCACAGGAAGGGGACUGGGGAAGACUGUCCUCUUCCCCCAUCCUGUCUCAUCCAAGACCCUGAGCCUGGGGCGGGGAGGGGGGGGCUCCCUUCAGCGGACCAAGGGCUUCUGGGAGGCCACCCGCCAUGUCAGUGGAUUGAUUAAAGUCAUUGUGGGGA